UGGGGAAUAUUGGACAAUGGGGGAAACCCUGAUCCAGCCAUGCCGCGUGAGUGAUGAAGGCCUUAGGGUUGUAAAGCUCUUUUACCAGGGAAGAUGAUGACGGUACCUGGAGAAUAAGCACCGGCUAACUUCGUGCCAGCAGCCGCGGUAAUACGAAGGGUGCUAGCGUUGUUCGGAAUCACUGGGCGUAAAGCGCGCGUAGGCGGCUUUGCAAGUCAGGGGUGAAAUGCCAAGGCUCAACCUUGGAACUGCCUUUGAAACUGCAAAGCUAGAGUGUCGGAGGGGAUAGCGGAAUUCCUAAUGUAGAGGUGAAAUUCGUAGAUAUUAGGAGGAACACCGGUGGCGAAGGCGGCUAUCUGGACGACAACUGACGCUUAGGCGCGAAAGUGCGGGGAUCAAACAG
rnacentral:rRNA from 1 species